GUAGGUGGCAAGCGUUGUCCGGAAUUAUUGGGCGUAAAGCGCGCGCAGGCGGUUCUUUAAGUCUGAUGUGAAAGCCCACGGCUCAACCGUGGAGGGUCAUUGGAUACUGGAGAACUUGAGUACAGAAGAGGAAAGCGGAAUUCCACGUGUAGCGGUGACAUGCGUAGAGAUGUGGAGGAACACCAGUGGCGAAGGCGGCUUUCUGGUCUGUAACUGACGCUGAGGCGCGAAAGCGUGGGGGAGCAAACAGGAUUAGAUACCCUGGUAGUCCACGCCGUAAACGAUGAGUGCUAAGUGUUAGGGGGUUUCCGCCCCUUAGUGCUGCAGCUAACGCAUUAAGCACUCCGCCUGGGAGUACGGCCGCAAGGCUG
rnacentral:rRNA from 1 species